rnacentral:rRNA from 1 species
UUAGGAAUCUUGGACAAUGGGCGAAAGCCUGAUCCAGCCAUGCCGCGUGAGUGAUGAAGGCCCUAGGGUUGUAAAGCUCUUUCGACGGGGAAGAUAAUGACGGUACCCGUAGAAGAAGCCCCGGCUAACUUCGUGCCAGCAGCCGCGGUAAUACGAAGGGGGCUAGCGUUGCUCGGAAUCACUGGGCGUAAAGCGCACGUAGGCGGAUCUUUAAGUCGGGGGUGAAAUCCCGGAGCUCAACUCCGGAACUGCCUUCGAUACUGAGGAUCUCGAGUCCGGGAGAGGUGAGUGGAACUGCGAGUGUAGAGGUGAAAUUCGUAGAUAUUCGCAAGAACACCAGUGGCGAAGGCGGCUCACUGGCCCGGUACUGACGCUGAGGUGCGAAAGCGUGGGGAGCAAACA